rnacentral:rRNA from 1 species
UGUUGCUGAGAAGUUGAUCAAACUUGGUCAUUUAGAGGAAGUAAAAGUCGUAACAAGGUUUCCGUAGGUGAACCUGCGGAAGGAUCAUUACUGAAUUGUCAAACGGGUUGUUGCUGGCCCUCAUAGGGGGCAUGUGCACGCUCUGUUUACACAUCCACUCACACCUGUGCACCCUCUGUAGUUCUAUGGUCUGGGGGACCCUGUCUUCCUUCUGUGGUUCUACGUCUUUACACACACACUGUAACAAAGUUUUAUGGAAUGUACAUCGCGUCUAACGCAAUACAAUACAACUUUCAGCAACGGAUCUCUUGGCUCUCGCAUCGAUGAAGAACGCAGCGAAAUGCGAUAAGUAAUGUGAAUUGCAGAAUUCAGUGAAUCAUCGAAUCUUUGAACGCACCUUGCGCCCCUUGGCUAUUCCGAGGGGCAUGCCUGUUUGAGUAUCAUGAACACCUCAACUCUCAUGGUUUGCCAUGAUGAGUUGGACUCUGGGGGUUUUGCUGGCCUGUGGUCGGCUCCUCUCAAAUUAAUCAGCCUCCCAGUGUUUGGUGGCAUCACGGGUGUGAUAAAUAUCUACGCUCGCUGUUGUCUGCCAGGUAACCUUUGGUCACAAAGGUUUGCUGGAGCUCACAGAUGUCUCUCCUCAGCGAGGACAGCUUUUUUAACGUUCGAUCUCAAAUCAGGUAGGACUACCCGCUGAACUUAAGCAUAUCAAUAAGCGGAGGAAAAGAAACUAACAAGGAUUCCCCUAGUAACUGCGAGUGAAGCGGGAAAAGCUCAAAUUUAAAAUCUGGCGUGCCUCUGGUCGUCCGAGUUGUAGUUUAGAGAAG